CGCGUAGGUGGUAGUGCAAGUCUGGGGUGGAAUCCCAGGGCUUAACCCUGGAACUGCCUUGGAAACUGUAUUACUUGGGUCAGUGAGGGGAGGGUAGAAUCCCUGGUGUAGCGGUGAAAUGCGUAGAUAUCAGGAGGAAGGCCUGUGGCGAAGGCGGCCCUCUGGCGCUGAACUGACACUGAGGCGCGAAAGCGUGGGUAGCAAACAGGAUUAGAUACCCUGGUAGUCCACGCCCUAAACGGUGGGUACUAGGUGUGGGGCUCGUAAGGGUUCUGUGCCGAAGCGAAAGCAUUAAGUACCCCGCCUGGGGAGUACGGCCGCAAGGUUGAA
rnacentral:rRNA from 1 species